rnacentral:lncRNA from 1 species
GGAGAGAGCACAAACUGAAGAGAAUCAGGCAAAGCAAGACUAUGAACUAGCCAAGUUUAGAGUGGAUGAGAUGGAACACGGGAUUGGAGAUGAGGCUAGUGUUGCAGCAAGGGCACAGCUCGAGGUUGCUAAAUCCAGGCAUGCAGCUGCAGUUUCGGAACUGAAAUUCGUUAAAGAAAAGUUAGAAACAUUAAAUAAGGAAUAUGCUUUUUUGAUGAAUGAAAGAGAUACCGCGGUUAAGAAAGCUGAAGAGGUUGUUUCUGCUUCAAAGGAGGUUGAGAAAAUGGUGGAAGAAUUGACUAUUGAGUUGAUUGCCAUAAGGGAGAUCUUAGAGUCUGCACAUGCUGCCCAUGUGGAAGCAGAAGAGAAAAGGAUUAGAGUAACCCUGGCCCGAGACCAAGAUACUAAGCAUUGGGAGAAGGAACUAAAACAGGUUGAGGAGGAGCUUCAGAGACUCAAUCAACAAAUUUAUUCAGCAAAGGAUCUGAAAUCAAAGAUAGACUUUGCUUCAGCCCUGCUCCUUGAUUUAAAAGCUGAGUUAGCUUCUUAUAAGUCACAGACAUCAAAGACGACAACUCACAUUGAUGUACACGCUUUCGUUGCUUCAUUACAGAAGGAACUUGAAAACGCCAAGGUCAAUAUAGAAAAAGCAAGUGCAGAAGUGGAUUGUUUGAAGGUGGCUACCAUUUCAUUAAAAUUAGAGCUUGACAGGAAUAAGUCUGAGCUUGCCAACAGUAAGCAGAGAGAACACAUGGCUUCGAGUGCAGUUGCUCUUUCGGAGGCUGAGCUGGCAACAGUAACACGAGUGGCUGAUGAGGCUAAGUCACUUGCUGAAAUAGCCCGUGGAGAUUUGCACAAAGCAGAAGAAGAAGCAGCGCAAGUAAAGGCGGGAGCAAGUGCUAUGGAGAGUCGAUUACUUGCAGCUGAAAAAGAGAUAGAGGCCGCCAAGGCUUCGGAAAAGUUAGCUUUAGCUGCAAUCGAAGCAUUUGAAAAGAGCGAAUCAACUAAAAGCAUUGAUAAUGUGGAUUCACCACCUAGUGUAACACUUUCCACAGAGGAGUACUAUAACCUCGGUGAACGUGCAAAUGAGGCAAAGGAAGAAGCCAAGUUGAGGGUGGAAGCUGUUGUAUCUCAAGUUGAGGUAGCUAAGCAAUCAGAGUCAAUAAGCUUGGAAAGGUUGGAAGAAGUAAGCCGAGAGAUGGC